rnacentral:rRNA from 1 species
AUUGAACGCUGGCGGCAGGCCUAACACAUGCAAGUCGAACGGUAACAGGAAACAGCUUGCUGUUUCGCUGACGAGUGGCGGACGGGUGAGUAAUGUCUGGGAAACUGCCUGAUGGAGGGGGAUAACUACUGGAAACGGUAGCUAAUACCGCAUAACGUCGCAAGACCAAAGAGGGGGACCUUCGGGCCUCUUGCCAUCGGAUGUGCCCAGAUGGGAUUAGCUAGUAGGUGGGGUAACGGCUCACCUAGGCGACGAUCCCUAGCUGGUCUGAGAGGAUGAGCAGCCACACUGGAACUAAGACACGGUCCAGAGUCCUACGGGAGGCAGCAGUGGGGAAUAUUGCACAAUGGGCGCAAGCCUGAUGCAGCCAGGUCGCGUGUAUGAAGGAGGCCUGCGGGUUGUAAAGUACUUUCAGCGGGGAGGAAGGGAGUAAAGUUAAUACCUUUGCUCAUUGACGUUACCCGCGGAAGAAGCACCGGCUAACUCCGUGCCAGCCGCCGCAGUAA